rnacentral:tRNA from 1 species
CAAAGGGUAGUUUAUUUAAAAUAAUAGUUUUGGGGAUUAUUGAUAGAUUUUUCUUCCUUUGA